GACGUAGGGCGCGAGCGUUGUCCGGAUUUAUUGGGCGUAAAGAGCUCGUAGGUGGUUUGUCGCGUUGUUCGUGAAAACUCACAGCUCAACUGUGGGCGUGCGGGCGAUACGGGCAGACUAGAGUACUGCAGGGGAGACUGGAAUUCCUGGUGUAGCGGUGGAAUGCGCAGAUAUCAGGAGGAACACCGGUGGCGAAGGCGGUUCUCUGGGCAUGACCUGACGCUGAGGAGCGAAAGUGUGGGGAGCGAACAGG
rnacentral:rRNA from 1 species